CAUUCACCUGAGAGAAGGAAGAGUUGAAUUUGGUGAAUUAAAACUACACUUGAUCAGAUAUUGGAUUGUGCACCUUUUUGUUGCUGAAUAUUUGGUGGUCAGGUUCUGACUUGUUAGACAGUUGCAUAAAAGCCUACUUUCCAUCAAGAUCCCUCUAUCUGUGUUUAUCCACUCUGGCUCCAUCUUGCCUGGCACCUUUCAGAAUGACAGCCCCGUUCUUAGCAAUUUGGUUUAUUUACAGUAAAUUGAUAGGUCUUUUUUUUUACCACUUUCUCACACAAAAGAAGAGCACUUUGGCAUCCCUAUUGAGGCAUUAGAACCUAUUAUGUGAAUGGCAUGUUACACUUUGGAGAAUGACAAUGUUAAGGCUCUUUCUGGUAUCCCCUCAUAUAUAUUCUUUAAAAAGAAAUCUUUCACUCAGAUUUUUGGGUUUUAAUUAGUGGUAUAGUGUUGACUAUAUUUCAGUAACCCUUCCUUACAGGUGUUGUGGUCCAGUUUCCAGCCUGGAUCGCAGCUGUCCUCGGUGAGUCCAUUCCGACAAACGCACUCGCAGGUGGACUCAUGCAGAAUCCUGUUGGGCCCACAGAGAGCCAGCAGACCCGAGUCCAGCGCCUCUGGAAGCCACAAGGAAAGAAGGUGAUCUGAUGCAGCUCGUCGUAUGAUGGAGUGGAGCGGCCGCUUGGAGAGGCAUUCGCACGAAGUGUGGUUGACGAAGGAUACCAUGACGACUGAGCGAUCCAUCCUGGGCGGGGACAGUUCCAUCAGCUGGCAGGAAGAAAGAUGAAGGCUCCCUGAUCCUUGGAAAAGCAUCAAAGACAGAAAAAAGAAGGAAGAGCUUAUUCCAAAUCCUUUUUCCAAAUGGAGUU